rnacentral:lncRNA from 1 species
UAGGCCUAAAUCUGUCCGAGGCCCAACAACCAGAAUAAAACCAAAUAUUAAACCAAAAAUCCAUAUAAAUAAAAAACCAAAUAAUAAAAAGUCCAAUUAUUAGUCCAUUACAUAUCAGACCCAAUAGCGCAGUUACAAGCCCAUUUACAAAACAACCUAGCCCAAUCAAAUAACCCAAUGCCUAAAAGUCCCAGUGGCCCAAAACCUAGACCUAGGUUCAGCCAAACAGAAUCCUAGGGUUUCCUUAGCACCGCAGCCCCUAGCCUCCAGCGUCGUACAACCUCCAGCAUUUCAGCAGCCUCCAGCACAUCGCCUCCGUAUGCCAGCACACAGCCCUCGUACACGCGCCACACACACCCCGUACUUGUAAAAAGUGACGAACGCACAACAAAACAAAAACAAAAAAAGAAUACUGUAUUUUUUUUAUUAUCUUUAUCAUUUUUAUCCCUUCGGCUAUAAAGCCAAGAGAUUUGAUCGUUUACAAUGUUACGCACACUGGAUAUUAAAGAAAAAUCAAGCCAAAAGUUAUUAAAAGGUGAUUUCCAAAUCUGUUUUUUUUCGUUUCUUUUGAGGGGUUUUGCAAUCUUAGCGUGAACACAUAAAGGGAACCCGAAUCGACGCCGAUGAAAGCCCAAGCAUCUUAGAAAUGCAAAGAUGCGGGUGAGGGUCGAAUGGCGUUAAAAUUUUGUUUAAAUCUUCAAAGUUUGUUUCGUUUUUUUUGAAAGAACAGCAUAAGAUUCAAGUUUUUUUUUUAAAAAAAAAAGAAAGGGAAAAGAGGGAGCGAGGUUACCAGAUCUUCAUGGUCGAGGCCUCCGUUGGCAAGAUCUGGCCGUCAUCCGCACCAUUAGCCAUCAAGUUGAUGGUGGUUUGGUGGCUGCGUAAUUGAACAAACCCUAAGAGAGCAAGGGUUCUUUUUCUUCAUCUGCGAUUUCGGAAAGAAAAGGAAUGGGAAUAGUGACCUUUAGCACCAGAAUAAAAAACGGCGCCGUUUCAGCGAUAAGGAUUCGCAUGUCAACCCGAUGGGCAGGCCGGAUCUGCGCCCUUUUAUUCAAAAUGGGGAAUUUGCGCGUUAGGUCCUCCCUGUUCAUGCGAGUCUUCUAUUGCACCUUAUGCAUUUUACUUUGUUUUUAAAAUUUGACUCUGUAAUUUGCUCGCGUUUGCACUUUGGUCUGUGCCUCUGCGCUGCGUUUUAGAACUUGGGUUAUUUCCAGUUCUAGUCCCUAUACGUUUGCGCGCAUCGCACAUUGGUCCUCUUUUGAUUAUUUUAUUUGUAAAUUAACCUUUUUUUUGUUUUAAUUUUACUUUAAUUAGUUUUUUUAUUUUCUAAAAUAGAUUCAUUUCAUAGUUUUUUUUUACUCUUAUUAACUUAUGUGUACAUUUUGAAUUACCUCGAUAAAUUUUUUUAUUAUUGUCAAUUUGUUUAUGCCAUAUCAUCUUCACAUUUUGUAAACUAUUUUUUUAUAUAAAUGCUUUUUCUUUACAUUGUUGUAUAUAUAAUAUUUGUAAUAAAGUUAAUUUUAGUCUAUGUACGUUAUUAAUGUUAUGUUAUUUCAUACAUAUAAUGGUUUUGAC